CCCCUUUCAGAAUCACACCUGAAGAGUUUCCAGUACUCUACCAGUUUCAAAUACGGUAGGGAGAGUCAAGCAGAGGCAUAUCUAUUCCAUUCCUAGCUUGGACAGUGGCUAGCGAGUGGCAGGUAAUCUGCUACAAGU